rnacentral:rRNA from 1 species
UUACAUGCAGUCGAGCGGACAGAUGAGGAGCUUGCUCCUCUGAUGUUAGCGGCGGAUGAGUACACGUGGGCACCUACCUGUAAGACGGGGAUACUCCGGGAAACCGGAGCUAAUACCGGAUAAUAAAGAGAAACGCCUGUUUCUUUUUUGAAAGUCGGUUUCGGCUGACACUUACAGAUGGGCCCGCGGCGCAUUAGCUAGUUGGUGAGGUAACGGCUCACCAAGGCGACGAUGCGUAGCCGACCUGAGAGGGUGAUCGGCCACACUGGGACUGAGACACGGCCCAGACUCCUACGGGAGGCAGCAGUAGGGAAUCUUCGGCAAUGGACGAAAGUCUGACCGAGCAACGCCGCGUGAGCGAUGAAGGCCUUCGGGUCGUAAAGCUCUGUUGUCAGGCAAGAACAAGUACCGGAGUAACUGCCGGUACC